UCUGUCGAUUCAUUUGCUAGCUCUUUUCCAUAUGCUACACUAUGGGGUUCCAGAUUAAAGUCCUGAACUUACUGCUUCCUAGAUUGUGAUUUUGAGCAAGAUAACUACUUUUUUACACCUUUUUUUUCUUCUAACAUGGAGGUCAAUAUAAAGCACAACUGUGUGACAUUAUCGUGAAGGAUAAAUAAGCUUUCCUUCUGUUUUGUUUUGCUCUCUGGUUAAGAAAGAUGACUUGCGUCUAAGUAUCCACGAUUGGUGUUAUCACCAAAAAAUUGUAUUAUUAUGUACUCGGAUGUCCAUAUUUUAAAUAGGAUUUAACAUGUACAUUAAUUUGUAUUACUUAAAAACCCUACAAUGAGUAUAUU
rnacentral:lncRNA from 1 species